rnacentral:lncRNA from 10 species
AAACUAGGCCUGUUAUUAACAAGUACAAAUGGAAACAGACCAACACUACCUCUACUCACAUAACUUAGCCACAGCACAACACGAGGUAAGAGGCUGGGUGUUGCAGAAGUGACUGGUAACCACUUUGUUUUUGCAACAAAAGCCCCCGAAUUUCAGCUGUGCACGUGGCAUUUCUCACCCUCCCUUGCAGCUGGGUGUAGCCAGGUAGUGAAGUCGAAGUCAAUGGCAUGCAGCCACAGCGCUGGGUGCAGCUGCGGGGUCAUCUCUCCAGUGGCCUGCUCUGGACUCUCUCUUGCCCCCUCUGCUGGCUGGAAGAGGCACUGACAGGAGCAACCUAGGACGCCUCGCUGAGGCUGGCGGGCUGCUCACUGCUCCGGCCUGGCUCACCUCUAGACGGCAAGAUGAGUGAGCCAUAAACUUCUAUCCAAUUAAAGUCACUGUCUUUUUGAAGUCUCAUUACAGCAUCUGGCUGUACUCUAACAUAUACAAAUAUGUUUCUGGUUCAACAUCUCCUGUGCACGGAGAAAGCACAGGCAUGUUUCUCACAAGUCACAAACUACUAAGUUAAAAUCCUUAACUUCUGGGAAUGUUUUUUAAAAGGAGGUGAAAAUUGGUUACAACUUUACUUUUCUUACCUUGUUAAGAUACUCAUAAGCCUCUACAUCAUUUCCACUGUGAUAGUUUCGGAUCCCUUGAAGUAAGUAGAGUCUUAGAAACAGUACCUUCUCUUUCCCACAAUUUCCCUAAAAUUAUUGAAGAAAAAAAGGAUAAAAUUGCCUUAUUUCUAAUUACAGGUCUAUAAUACUCAUCUCUGUCAUUCCCUUGGUCUCCAGAGGGGCAACAUGAUAGGUAUUAAAAUGUCCAUGGCUUCACUAUGACUGACGGCAAAAGUGAAGCCCCCUCUUCCCCAUCCCCUGUGGUAUGAUAACAUUCCUCAUGCCACACAGGAGAGUCAGUGUCAGGGCACCAGCCUCCAGACAUGCAGCACAGUGGCCCUUCUGGUCAGCAGAGAAGUAUGCAGAAAUCCAAACCAGGUAUCAGAGAGUCUGCAUCAGCAGGAUUUUGAUGACUUGGGGAAAUCAGAAAAAUCCUUACUCGAGCCACAGCUCUUGAGCUGUGACUCAUUCACGUAAACCAUUACUGCUGAAAUGUCUAUUUUCUGCAUUUACAUCUUGCAAAUUAGACUCUACCGAUAUAAAGAAGUCAGCAGCUCUCUCCUGGUCAGGGUGAUCACUGAUGGGGUUCUAUGACUAGCAAACCAUGUUCCUUUGGGCUAAAUGCUCACACGCUAAGUAAGAGAGACAGCCAGAUUUGUAAAACAUUGAACACUUUAUAAAUAUAUAGUUUAAAAAGACUAUACUGCAUACUACUAUCAAAAUGAAAUUACCUUCUGGCAGUAGUUCAAAUACUUUAACAGGAAUAAACACAAAUGCUAGAAAUGGACUCAACGAGACAUAAGAUGAAUUCCAGGAACAUACUUUUAUGUGGACCAGUCUCUGAUGAUUUUCUCCGUAACAAUUUUUAAAGCAUUUCUGGGCCAAGUUUAAUUUUUUUUCUGCAUCAUCAAGGCAUUCCAGCUGUUCCAGGCGGAAGUAACACCACACUAUAUCCAGCUGGAGGACGGCGUAGUUAUCCACUGUGUCCAGCAGCUCUCUGCAACACUCACUGGAAAGAGAAGGACAGUGACAUCACUGCCAAGCAGCAUUUGAAACAUUUUUAGCAUUUGAAACCUUUUUGUGAAUGACUGGAAUUCUUUCCCCGUUCUUGGUAUAUAUUCAAAGGCUGACUGCUCUAAAAGAGAGAUCCUAAUGUUUAGGAAGGGAGCUGUGUUUAUAAUCUCAUCCUUCUAAUGGGGGAAAGAAAGAGAAAUCAGAAAUCAGGGCUUAGGAAUCAAAGCUUACCACCACUUGCCCCAGGACACACAUGCAGCCCCUUGAUAGGAAGCAGAACCCAGGGCCACUGUUUCAGAGGCCCUCAGCAAAUACGGGGAAGACCAUGCUUUAAAGCUGUGACUUCCAAUCCUGACUGCAAAUCAGCAUCACCUGGGCCAGAGCAACGUUCUUUCUUUCUUUCUUUCUUUCUUUAAGAAUCAUUGAUCCCACCCAGACCAAACAUAACAGAAAUUUCUGGGGGUUGGGCCUGGUGGUUAUACUGCCAGAGUCUCCCCAGCUGAUUCUAGUGUACAGCCAGGGCUGAACACCACUUCUUUAAAGACACCAAAAAAAUCCCUACGUACUAUGAAUGCCUCAGCUGAUGACGGCUCUGACAAGGCAUUCAUGUUCAAUCAUAUUCAAGCUGGGGGAAAAACAAUCCAGAAAGCACCAGGCUCUAACGGCCCAGCUGAUUUCUGAGGGCCUGUGUGCAGGCAAAAUUUGACUCCGUAUUCGUGGCAGCAGGCUGAACCCAGGCGCAGCAAAGGGAAGAAAGACAGCAACAGAAGUCAGUGUGCUCCAGGAGGAGCACUGACAAAGACAGCCAUCAAGGUGACUAAUUUUAAGUUAUGAUUACAUUAAAAAUUCCUAAUGCCAAUCUAGGUCUCAAGUCUUCAAUAAGAACAUUUGGAACCACACAUUGUAUAUGAACAAGGUUUUCUCUCUUUAUGUUCAUUGGUGUUCUACUAAAAAUAAGAAUGCUCUUGUAUAAAACUACAAAAUCCACAUGGCCUCAAGCUUCCUGUCCUGCCUAUCAAAAUAUGCAUGGAAUAAAAAAAAAAGGACUUU